GGUCCUUUUGGGAAGUAACGACUUGAGGGAGAGAGUGACGUUACUCAUUGAUACAGAGACACAACGAGGUUGAACUGAUGUGAUGAUGGUGCUGCAAUGAGCGGAGUCUCCAGGGUUGUUAAUAAAUAGUUAACCUGUCUAGAAUAUGUCUUCAUACAUAUGUCUAGCUACUUUCCGCUGCAAGAUGUUGUUGAUGUUAUAGUAUGUUAUGUCAUACUUUGAGUCUUAAGAGAAUGGUUGCAUAUGAUGUAUAACUUGAUUAAUGAUAUUAAUUAACUUUUAUGCAGUCUUUCAUAGACUGUUUUCAAUUGAGUAUUAAUGAAUAAAAAUGACGAGUUUUAUUAA